GCCUACCAAGGUGAUGAUACGUAGCCGAACUGAGAGGUUGAUCGGCCACAUUGGGACUGAGACACAGCCCAAACUCCUACGGGAGGCAGCAGUAGGGAAUCUUCCACAAUGGACGAAAGUCUGAUGGAGCAACGCCGCGUGAAUGAAGAAGGCCUUCGGGUCGUAAAAUUCUGUUGUCAGAGAAGAAUGUGCGUGAGAGUAACUGUUCACGUAUUGACGGUAUCUGACCAGAAAGCCACGGCUAACUACGUGCCAGCAGCCGCGGUAAUACGUAGGUGGCAAGCGUCGUCCGGAUUUAUUGGGCGUAAAGGGAACGCAGGCGGUCUUUUAAGUCUGAUGUGAAAGCCUUCGGCUUAACCGAAGUAGUGCAUUGGAAACUGGAAGACUUGAGUGCAGAAGAGGAGAGUGGAACUCCAUGUGUAGCGGUGAAAUGCGUAGAUAUAUGAAGAGCACCAGUGGCGAAAGCGGCUCUCUGGUCUGUAACUGACGCUGAGGUUCGAAAGCGUGGGUAGCAAACAGGAUUAGAUGCCCUGGUAGUCCACGCCGUAAACGAUGAGUGCUAAGUGUUGGAGGGCUUCCGCCCUUCAGUGCUGCAGCUAACGCAUUAAGCACUCCGCCUGGGGAGUACGGUCGCAAGACUGAAACUCAAAGGAAUUGACGGGGGCCCGCACAAGCGGUGGAGCAUGUGGUUUAAUUCGAAGCAACGCGAAGAACCUUACCAGGUCUUGACAUCUUCUGACAAUUCCAGAGAUGGAACGUUCCCUUCGGGGACAGAAUGACAGGUGGUGCAUGGUUGUCGUCAGCUCGUGUCGUGAGAUGUUGAGUUAAGUCCCGCAACGAGCGCAACCCUUAUUGUCAGUUGCCAUCAUUAAGUUGGGCACUCUGGCGAGACUGCCGGUGACAAACCGGAGGAAGGUGGGGAUGACGUCAAAUCAUCAUGCCCCUUAUGACCUGGGCUACACACGUGCUACAAUGGACGGUACAACGAGUCGCUAACUCGCGAGGGCAAGCUAAUCUCUUAAAGCCGUUCUCAGUUCGGAUUGCAGGCUGCAACUCGCCUGCAUGAAGUCGGAAUCGCUAGUAAUCGCGAAUCAGCAUGUCGCGGUGAAUACGUUCCCGGGCCUUGUACACACCGCCCGUCACACCAUGAGAGUUUGUAACACCCAAAGUCGGUGGGGUAACCUUUUGGAGCCAGCCGCCUAAGGUGGGACAGAUGAUUGGGGUGAAGUCGAAACAAGGUA
rnacentral:rRNA from 1 species